AACAGCCUGCGGUGUUCGGAAACUUAUUAAUUCAACCGACAUAUUGUAAAAGGGAAUUCGCGUUCGACUGCCUAUGACAAGCCCGCUUGGACGGGAAGCCAGAAUCAGCCGACAGAUAUCCCACCUGCCUAGGUGCGGGUGUGAAUUAUAGGUUUGCGGCACACGCGGGUUUUUU
rnacentral:other from 1 species